rnacentral:rRNA from 1 species
CCUACGGGAGGCAGCAGUAAGGAAUAUUGGACAAUGCUCGCAAGAGUGAUCCAGCCAUGCCGCGUGCAGGAAGAAUGCCCUAUGGGUAGUAAACUGCUUUUGAACUAGAGAAAACCCCAGUACGUGUACUGGGCUGAUAGUAUAGUUAGAAUAAGCAUCGGCUAACUUCGUGCCAGCAGCCGCGGUAAGACGAAGGAUGCAAGCGUUAUCCGGAUUCAUUGGGUUUAAAGGGAGCGUAGGUGGACUGAUAAGUCAGUGGUGAAAUCUCCGAGCUUAACUCGGAAAUUGCCAUUGAUACUGUUGGUCUUGAGUACAGUUGCUGUGGGCGGAAUAUGACAUGUAGUGGUGAAAUACAUAGAGAUGUCAUAGAACACCGAUUGCGAAGGCAGCUCACAAAGCUGUAACUGACACUGAGGCUCGAAAGUGCGGGGAUCAAACAGGAUUAGAUACCCUGGUAGUCCGCACCGUAAACGAUGAUUACUCGCUGCUAGGGGGCAACCUUUAGUGGCUUAGCGAAAGCGAUAAGUAAUCCACCUGGGGAGUACGCCGGCAACGGUUGAAACGUCAAAGGAUUGACGGNNGAGAGNGCGAGGACGACACGAGGGAGAG